rnacentral:rRNA from 1 species
ACUGGGGUGAAGUCGUAACAAGGUAGCCGUAGGGGAACCUGUGGCUGGAUCACCUCCUUUAGGAGU